rnacentral:lncRNA from 1 species
CAUCAAAAGAUGUAAUUCUAUAGCUUGAUUUAUUCUUAAUUUAUUAAGGGACAAUUCAACCUCAAUAAGUAACUUCUUCGGUAGACAUAGCAGAUCGAAACGUCUUAAAAUUGUUGUUUUUGGAUUUCCAAACAGUUGUAUUUGGAUUUCCAAAUUCUAUUAUCUACCGAAGUUGUUACUAGGUUGAGUCACGACCAGGUCGCUCUCUUUAAGACGUUUUGUGGCACUGCCCAAAAUUGUGCAAG